rnacentral:rRNA from 1 species
GAUGAACGCUGGCGGCGUGCUUAACACAUGCAAGUCGAACGGAGUUAUUUGGAAGCUUGCUUUUGAAUAACUUAGUGGCGGACGGGUGAGUAACGUGUGGGGCAACCUGCCCUAUACUGGGGGAAUAAUCACUGGAAACGGUGACUAAUACCGCAUGUCAUCACCGGAGGGCAUCCUCUGGGUGAAAAAAAGGAGCAAUUCGGUAUAGGAUGGGCCCGCAUCUGAUUAGCUAGUUGGUGAGAUAACAGCCCACCAAGGCGACGAUCAGUAGCCGACCUGAGAGGGUGAUCGGCCACAUUGGGACUGAGACACGGCCCAAACUCCUACGGGAGGCAGCAGUGGGGGAAUAUUGCACAAUGGGGGGAAACCCCUGAUGCAGCAACGCCGCGUGAGUGAAGAAGUAUUUCGGUAUGUAAAGCUCUAUCAGCAGGGAAAGAAAAUGACGGUACCUGACUAAGAAGCCCCGGCUAACUACGUG